rnacentral:rRNA from 1 species
GAUUUGAGAUGGCCUCUCGCCCUAUUCAGUGUAACAGCUGUGGUAGUGGGUUUGGUCGCUCGCAUUUAAAUUGGAAGGGUAAUGGUGGACCGCACUUCUCCCUUAGUAGGACGUUGCGACCUGUCAAAUAAUAUCCUAAGUAUUUGGCUAAUUUGUCUGUUUUUAGGCAAUACUGAAAGGUAUUUCCUUUAACAGUUUUAGCCGUUUAUAUACUGGAUAUAAUUGACAGUAACGAAUCAUGGUGUUGAGCCACUUGCUUUGUAAGUGUCCUUAUGGCUGUUUGCAAGUGGGUUGGUUAAUUAGUUUUAGUCGGAUUUCGGUCCGUCUAACUAUUCCGCCUACUGUUGGUAAACUGUUCCUUGGACAGUGCUUAUAACACCGGUCGGCAGCGAUUCAGGUUCAGGCUCUUAUCCGACCCGUCUUGAAACACGGACCAAGGAGUUUAGCGUGUACGCAAGUCAUUGGGUGUAUAAAACCCAAAGGCGCAAUGAAAUUGAAAGA